GGACUACUGGGGUAUCUAAUCCUGUUUGCUCCCCACGCUUUCGUGUCUCAGUGUCAGUGUCUGUCCAGAUAGUCGCCUUCGCCACUGGUGUUCCUUCCAAUAUCUACGCAUUUCACCGCUACACUGGAAAUUCCACUAUCCUCUACAGCACUCUAGCUAUACAGUCUUAAACGCAGUUCCCAGGUUAAGCCCGGGGAUUUCACAUCUAACUUAUAUAACCACCUACACACCCUUUACGCCCAGUAAUUCCGAUUAACGCUCGCACCCUCUGUAUUACCGCGGCUGCUGGCAC
rnacentral:rRNA from 1 species